GUCCAAUACAAGAUGCCGCUCGCUAAGGACGAACCGCAGGACUCCGAAAUAGCCAGGAGGCGAGCAGCUGUCAUGAGGAUCGUUGACCGUCUCGUUGAGGACUCCAAGGACCUCUCAGCGCGCCUACAGGACCCAAGGAGCGCCUAUCCUACGCCUGGCUAUGACAAGGUUAACAGCCUUGUCGGGGUCUUAACGAGUCUACGACCUGUCAUUCACCAUAGACUUUACUUCAGCCCAACCUUGCAAUAUCUCUACGCCUCCCAGCUGGCAAGACGGGCGGGAUCUGAUGGGGCCUCCGGGGAGAAUGUGGAGGCCGUGGAGUCCCAGUUGGCGGAGGCACAGCGACAGCGCGAGUCCGAGCUGAGCUGUCGGGAGACUGUCUUGGCGAACCUCAGUGACACCCUAAGACAGCUGGACGCACAGGGCUCACAGGCGGUCAGGAAGUGCAGGCGUGAGGCGAGGGCAGAGUGUGAUGAGGUCCGAGCUCAGAGCGAAAGCAGUCUUGAGGAGCUGAGGGCAGGUCUAGCAGCCAGCAGGGAGGCACAGCGGCAGCAGGCAAGCAGGCACUGUCAGGAGGAGGCACUCAGCAGGGAAAGGAGGCAGGGGUUGGAGGCGGACAUGCAGCGGGUCAUCCGUAGAUAUGACAGGACCAUGAGUUGCCUUCAGACCGAGCUGGACAGCCUCCGAGACCAGCACCGAGACCUCACCGCCAAGCUGGAGACUGAGACAGCCCAUCUAAGUGUUGUGGAAGCGAGGUACCGGGCAAUUUUGGAGGAGAAACAGAGGCAGGAGGAGGAAAGAUUGGCAGCUAUGCAGGCUGAGUUCCGCCGCGAGCACGCCGCCCGCACCAUCCAGCGCGCUUGGCAGCACUACAAAAUGAGGAAGAUGUUGAAGAAGGCGCAGCGCAAGAGGAAGAAGAAGCCAAAGGAUGGGAAAUGAAGAGGAGGAGGAGGAGGAGGAAGAAAAAAUGAGAGGAGGAGGAGAGCAAGAAAUAUAGGAGGAGGAGGUCUCCAGUCCACUGGUAAGCUUAUGAAAGUCACUCUGUACCUCUCUAUAGCAAGCUUAGUAAUCUCAGAUCUCUAUAGUAAGCUGAAGGUAUCUGAACCUCUCUAUAGUAAGCUUGAAGUCACUGCGAAUCCCUAUCUAAGCUGACUUCUGGAGCGUGGAAUCUAUGGGUGAUGUCCAACUUGAAUCCCUCCCUCUCUCUCUCUCCAAUCCCUCCCUUUCCUCCAAUCUCUCUCCCUCGACAGGCAAAGCUUGGUCUGAAGCCGAGGAACAAUUUUAAGCUGGUGGAAGUUGCUACAGAAAUAUAUCCAUUGUACUCCUCACCAAUGUCCAAGUUGAAAUAUAAAUAAAGUUAGUAAAAAGAA